rnacentral:rRNA from 1 species
UACGGAGGAUGCAAGCGUUAUCCGGAAUGAUUGGGCGUAAAGCGUCCGCAGGUGGCUGUGUAAGUCUGCUGUCAAAGAGCAAAGCUCAACUUUGUAAAGGCAGUGGAAACUACACGGCUAGAGUGCGUUCGGGGCAGAGGGAAUUCCCGGUGUAGCGGUGAAAUGCGUAGAGAUCAGGAAGAACACCGGUGGCGAAGGCGCUCUGCUAGGCCGCAACUGACACUGAGGGACGAAAGCUAGGGGAGCGAAUGGG